rnacentral:rRNA from 1 species
UACGUAGGGUGCGAGCGUUAAUCGGAAUUACUGGGCGUAAAGCGUGCGCAGGCGGUUUUGUAAGCCAGAUGUGAAAUCCCCGGGCUCAACCUGGGAAUUGCGUUGGAGACUGCAAGGCUAGAAUCUGGCAGAGGGGGGUAGAAUUCCACGUGUAGCAGUGAAAUGCGUAGAGAUGUGGAGGAACACCGAUGGCGAAGGCAGCCCCCUGGGUCAAGAUUGACGCUCAUGCACGAAAGCGUGGGGAGCAAACAGG